rnacentral:rRNA from 1 species
UGGGGAAUAUUGCACAAUGGGCGCAAGCCUGAUGCAGCCAUGCCGCGUGUGUGAAGAAGGCCUUCGGGUUGUAAAGCACUUUCAGCGGGGAGGAAGGCGUUAAGGUUAAUAACCUUGGCGAUUGACGUUACCCGCAGAAGAAGCACCGGCUAACUCCGUGCCAGCAGCCGCGGUAAUACGGAGGGUGCAAGCGUUAAUCGGAAUUACUGGGCGUAAAGCGCACGCAGGCGGUUUGUUAAGUCAGAUGUGAAAUCCCCGGGCUCAACCUGGGAACUGCAUCUGAUACUGGCAAGCUUGAGUCUCGUAGAGGGGGGUAGAAUUCCAGGUGUAGCGGUGAAAUGCGUAGAGAUCUGGAGGAAUACCGGUGGCGAAGGCGGCCCCCUAGACGAAGACUGACGCUCAGGUGCGAAAGCGUGGGGAGCAAACAGG